CACGUAGGCGGCUUGGUUAGUCAGAUGUGAAAGCCCGGGGCUUAACCCCAGAAGUGCAUUUGAUACUGCCAGGCUUGAGUAUGGGAGAGGGAAGUGGAAUUCCUGGUGUAGAGGUGAAAUUCGUAGAUAUCAGGAGGAACACCGGUGGCGAAGGCGACUUCCUGGACCAAUACUGACGCUGAGGUGCGAAGGCGUGGGUAGCAAACA
rnacentral:rRNA from 1 species